GAUGAACGCUGGCGGCGUGCCUAAUACAUGCAAGUCGAGCGAACAGAUAAGGAGCUUGCUCCUUUGACGUUAGCGGCGGACGGGUGAGUAACACGUGGGUAACUUACCUAUAAGACUGGAAUAACUCCGGGAAACCGGGGCUAAUGCCGGAUAACAUGUUGGACCGCAUGGUUCUACAGUGAAAGGCGGCUUUGCUGUCACUUAUAGAUGGACCCGCGCCGUAUUAGCUAGUUGGUGAGGUGACGGCUCACCAAGGCAACGAUACGUAGCCGACCUGAGAGGGUGAUCGGCCACACUGGAACUGAGACACGGUCCAGACUCCUACGGGAGGCAGCAGUAGGGAAUCUUCCGCAAUGGGCGAAAGCCUGACGGAGCAACGCCGCGUGAGUGAUGAAGGUCUUCGGAUCGUAAAACUCUGUUAUUAGGGAAGAACAAAUGCGUAAGUAACUGUGCGCGUCUUGACGGUACCUAAUCAGAAAGCCACGGCUAACUACGUG
rnacentral:rRNA from 1 species